UACGGAGGGAGCUAGCGUUGUUCGGAAUUACUGGGCGUAAAGCGCACGUAGGCGGCUUUGUAAGUUAGAGGUGAAAGCCCGGAGCUCAACUCCGGAAUUGCCUUUAAGACUGCAUCGCUUGAAUCCAGGAGAGGUGAGUGGAAUUCCGAGUGUAGAGGUGAAAUUCGUAGAUAUUCGGAAGAACACCAGUGGCGAAGGCGAAGUUCCUGGACA
rnacentral:rRNA from 1 species